AAAAUUUUUUCCCCAGGUAGAAUCAUUAAGCCUCAGAGAUCUUUGUGAAUAGUAAUAAUAAACUUCAAAAGCACACCAUUCAGAAUCUUUUGAUAAUUUCAAACCCAACAAGAAAAUCGAGAAACCAAACCCCAAUUUUGAAGAAACAAGAAAGUUUCAAGGAGAAAUGAUUCCAUUGAACAUAUAGAAUCAGGAGCCUAAACAUUGCAUAUCAUGUGCAUCUAAAAUGGUAAUGA
rnacentral:misc_RNA from 1 species